AGCGAACGCUGGCGGCAGGCCUAACACAUGCAAGUCGAACGGAUCCUUCGGGAUUAGCGGCGGACGGGUGAGUAACACGUGGGAACGUGCCCUUUGGUUCGGAACAACUCAGGGAAACUUGAGCUAAUACCGGAUGUGCCCUUCGGGGGAAAGAUUUAUCGCCAUUGGAGCGGCCCGCGUCUGAUUAGCUAGUUGGUGAGGUAAAGGCUCACCAAGGCGACGAUCAGUAGCUGGUCUGAGAGGAUGAUCAGCCACAUUGGGACUGAGACACGGCCCAAACUCCUACGGGAGGCAGCAGUGGGGAAUCUUGCGCAAUGGGCGAAAGCCUGACGCAGCCAUGCCGCGUGAAUGAUGAAGGUCUUAGGAUUGUAAAAUUCUUUCACCGGGGACGAUAAUGACGGUACCCGGAGAAGAAGCACCGGCUAACUCUGUGCCAGCCGCCGCCGUAAAAC
rnacentral:rRNA from 1 species